AUGGGGCCGGAGAAAGAAAGAGACAUUCGCUGCCUGAAAGCCUUUUAAAGGCGCCCUCAGCGUUUCUAAUUGGCCACACAGGGUGCUGUCGGGAAGAUAAACGCCCAACCAGCCACCUCCCCCGACAAGCUCGGACGUGCCGUUUCCUGAAACCGGGAUCUGACUGCACACUUAAGACAGAAUUCUUUUCUGGUUGGUUCUAAUGUUUUAUAUCAAAGCCUCAAGGUUUAAUCUCUUCAAUCUUUUCGAAUGCCUGGCCUAUUAAGAGGCUUUCAAACGGUGCUCCUAUGUGGUAUUGACCUGUAUACAGUUGAUGCUCAUCUUCGGAGCUGUUUUACAUAAGUGCUUCCGGCUCUCGGGGCACACAGACUUGUGACUUUAUCAAAUAACUUAGGUUUGGUUGUCUUGGAGUCUGUCUGCUUUCAGAGUGAACCCCCACGCCCCGCUUCUCGAUAUAAUAAAAGAAUGAACAGCAAAGACCCUAGAACUCUCUAGUCAACCAAAAAAGUUGCCAAAAAGAAAAAAAAAAAGAAAAGAAAAAAAAUAAACUUUCACAGUAGUCAACUCGGGCACUUGAGAGGGGGAGGAGAGGAUCAAGUUCAAUGCCGGCUUGGGCUACAAGGUGGGUUCAGCCAUCCUGGUCUGCCUGAGACAAAACAAAACCCUGAAAACGGAAGAAACUUUUGGUAGAAGAGAAAGUGACAUUGAGAUGCAAGCCUCCCCCUGGCACCAGCCAAGUCGAUCUUUGUCCAGUCGACAAUCCUGCACAUUGCUGGCCCGGUUCUACGAGCUGGUGACUGUCGACUUCUCAGCCUUGCCACUUUAAUCUCACUCACCCCAGCACCUCUGGCCACUUCCCUUCCGGGGAACCCUGCACUAUUCUAUGGGGCUGGGAAAAUGCUUUUCCUGGAAGGUCGGAUUCUUUAAAUUGCUCAACCCAGCUUGCCCAGGAAACGCCUUCCCUAAUCCUGGAAUGGGGGCACGUCCCUCGUUGGCUGCUGCGUGAGCAAAGCAACUAUUUUCCAGCGAGUGUCCUCAGGUGACCUGUCUAGACGCUCAGAGGAAAAAACAAGAGAAUCUGACACUCUCUGGAGCCCCAUAGACGCCUGUGACGCGCAGGCCGCGCUGCGUGGAAGGACGUGCGGAGCGCACAGCGGCAGGCCCAACGGGGCUGGCGGCGUGGCGCCGGGUGCCCGGGACGCAGGCUCCGCAUUUGUUCUGGAAGCUCGUAUUUACAUUUUAAGUGUAUCUGGUGAGUGGGCUGGAGCCCUCGUCCCGGCCGGGGAGAGAAGAAGCCGUCGACCCGUCUUUUCAAUCGCUCCCCCUCCCUUUUCUCAUCACUCC